GAGACGAGCAAACAUAAAAUCUUUCGGUUCUUGACAGGGUCCAUACAAACAAAAUGAUCUCCAAAGUAUUCUUUUUUUUAAAUAAAAACUUUUGUUUAUGUCACAAGAUGUAGUGAACAUGUAAAUGUCUAGCAAUUAUCUAUUAUUUGUUCAGGCCAAUCAUAUCCCAUCCCUGGAGAGACAUCAGCAAACAUUAUGACAAAGACGUUUGCCUUACGCAGACAAGAGAUUGUGGAAAACCAACCUACUGUUCAAGAACUGCAAGAAAGAUUGCCAGAGGAGAUUAAUGCAGAAUUGCGCAUCACGAUCUUACCUUGAAAAUCAAGAUUUAUGGCCUCUUUAGACAGACAGAGCUCUCAUGUUAUUAGGAGCAACGGUGGAGUCCUCCAUGAAAAACUAAGGACACUAUUAAAGUUAUGGAUCAGAGUCUGGACGUAGAAAUCAGAAGAGAAAGCCUGCUGAAGUGCCUGAUUCAUGUACGAUUCAUGUGAAGAUGCAAGCUGUCUGAUCAAAGAAUACCAGGCUGACAAGAGGGAAGAAGCGGAGAGGGAAUUCAAAAAGACCACCAUGGAAUUUUUUGUGAUCCGUGAAAGUGAUGCUCCUAAUCCUGCACUGGACAUUUUCAUUGAUGAUGUGGAGUAAUAAAUGAGUUGCCCUCUGUUGCAUGUGCAUGUUUGGACUCAUUUGAACUGAACUUAAAAUAUCCUAAUGGACUCAAAUAUACCUUUAAAGCCUUUCAAAAAAAAAUGUCAUGGACGUAGACAGUAAGCAGAUGAGCCGAAGGGUGCAGAACCCCUCUUCAAAACUGCAGGAGUAAAUUUGUUUCCUUUGACCCAGCUACUGAAGGUACAUUUUUGAGCCUUUUAUACAACAUUAACUGUAAUACUGUUUACUAAACCUGAUUUGUUUUAUCUUGAUUAAGUUUUAUGGUUUAUCUAUCAACCAUAACUGAUUCUUAUUUAGAAUUUACAUUUUAUCCAGUGUGUCUACAAAUACUAAAAACUGUUAUACAGUAUGUGUUUUUAUAACAAUACUAUACAUAUUGUUGAAAUGUUUUAUGACAAAUUGUCAAGAUUAUAAUGUGUUGACACUGUUAGACAGUGUGUAUUUGUACA